rnacentral:rRNA from 1 species
AACGAACGCUGGCGGCAGGCCUCAUACAUGCAAGUCGAGCGGGAAGAUUUACUUCGGUAGAUUGGAGAGCGGCGCACGGGUGAGUAACGCGUGGGAACAUACCUUAAGGUGGGGGAUAACCAUUGGAAACGAUGGCUAAUACCGCAUACGCCCUACGGGGGAAAGAUUUAUUGCCUUAAGAUUGGCCCGCGUUAAAUUAGGUAGUUGGUAGGGUAAAGGCUUACCAAGCCUACGAUUUAUAGCUGGUCUGAGAGGAUGAUCAGCCACACCGGAACUGAGACACGGUCCGGACUCCUACGGGAGGCAGCAGUAGGGAAUAUUGCACAAUGGGGGAAACCCUGAUGCAGCCAUGCCGCGUGAGUGAAGAAGGCCUUCGGGUUGUAAAGCUCUUUCACUUGUGAGGAUGAUGACAGUAGCAAGAGAAGAAGCCCCGGCUAACUUCGUGCCAGCAGCCGCGGUAAUACGAAGGGGGCAAGCGUUGUUCGGAAUUACUGGGCGUAAAGGGCGUGUAGGCGGACGAUAUAGUAAGCCG